AACACAAUUUCAAUUUCACCAACAUAAUCUUCUACACACAUAAACAUAAUAGCAAGCCGAGUUAAUCGAUUACAUGUGAGUUAAAAUCAUUGAACGCUAGUUCAAUGUUAACAACAUAAUAGCAAGCUAACUUAAUCGUCUAUUAGAUGGCUUUUUCUUCUUCACACAAACAUAAUAACAGGUCGAGUUAAAGUCAUUGAACACAAGUUCAAUCUUCACGACACUCCCCCUUCCCCUUAUUGUUCGAUUUCAUGGUUCCCUUUUGAAUAGUCAGAUUGAAUGAUAUCUCCACAUCCUCCUCUUCAAUCUUUAGAUCAGAGUCUGAAAAAUUUGAGAUAAGUCUUGAAAAGGUGAUAACAGCAAGGUGAUAUCUCCACGUUCUUUCCUCCCAUUUUCGAAUGCAACUGCAGGGGUGAUAACAGCAAGUUACAACUCCAUUGAACUCAUCAUACAACAAAACUUUAUGAAUAUAAACACAUCAACAUGGAACAAAAGCAUUUUCCCAAAUACAUCAACAAGACAUAAAAUGGCUAGGAAUCAACAUCCACAUAUUCAGCAGGACAACACUAGUAGAACAAAACAUAUGCAAAUUCACAUAUUCAGCAAUGUUGGUUAAAUUUCGAAAUCGUCCAAAUAACUAAUUCUACCAAAACAACAUUUUAUUCCCAUCAUUACAAAUAUAAAAUACUCGUGCAUUUUAUGAACAAACGACUGCUCCAGAAUGGGGGUUCAAUUUCAAAAUCGUCCAUAAUCGCCCUGAGGCUUCGUCCCAACUCAAAACACAAAGCAAUAGAGGAGAAAAGCCCUUACAGUAAUUCGAACCCAUCUCACAUUUAAAGGUCCGUUUGGCACAGGCUUUGUCCCAAAAAUGAGUCAACAACUCGAAGACAUUUCUUACACGAACACAACAAUAAUGGAGAAAAGCUCUUACAAUGCUUGGAAGUCAUCGUGCUGAUCUGGGCUGACUGUCAACGGCAAGCACUUGGGACUGCAGACCUCUAACAGCACGAUGACUUCCAAGCAUUGUAGAACGGGUGGAGAAAUGGGAGAUUUGUUCUGGCCAAGGAGCAAAAUCAAAUGCCGAAAACAUGACAAUAAUGGAGAAAAGCCCUUACAAUAGUUUGAAAUCGUUGUGCUGUCGAAGAUCUGCAGUCCCAACUGCUCGCCGUCGUCGAUGGUCGGCUUGUAGAACGGGUGGAGAACUGGAGGAGUCAGUGAGAAGUGAGAAAUGGGAGAUUUGUUAUGUUUCCAAGGAAAAAUUUGAAUGGAUUUUUGUCAGUCAGGAGUGUUUCUGUCUUUU
rnacentral:lncRNA from 1 species